UACGUAGGGUGCAGGCGUUAAUCGGAAUUACUGGGCGUAAAGCGUGCGCAGGCGGUUAUGCAAGACAGAUGUGAAAUCCCCCGGGCUUAACCUGGGAACCGCAUUUGUGACUGCAUAGCUGGAGUACGGCAGAGGGGGAUGGAAUUCCGCGUGUAGCAGUGAAAUGCGUAGAUAUGCGGAGGAACACCGAUGGCGAAGGCAGCCUCCUGGGCCAACACUGACGCUCAUGCACGAAAGCGUGGGGAGCAAACAGG
rnacentral:rRNA from 1 species